rnacentral:rRNA from 1 species
UGCAGUCGACGAUGAAGCCCUUCGGGGUGGAUUAGUGGCGAACGGGUGAGUAACACGUGGGCAAUCUGCCCUUCACUCUGGGACAAGCCCUGGAAACGGGGUCUAAUACCGGAUAAUACCUGCCUGGGCAUCUGGGUGGGUUGAAAGCUCCGGCGGUGAAGGAUGAGCCCGCGGCCUAUCAGCUUGUUGGUGAGGUAGUGGCUCACCAAGGCGACGACGGGUAGCCGGCCUGAGAGGGCGACCGGCCACACUGGGACUGAGACACGGCCCAGACUCCUACGGGAGGCAGCAGUGGGGAAUAUUGCACAAUGGGCGAAAGCCUGAUGCAGCGACGCCGCGUGAGGGAUGACGGCCUUCGGGUUGUAAACCUCUUUCAGCAGGGAAGAAGCGAGAGUGACGGUACCUGCAGAAGAAGCGCCGGCUAACUACGUGCCAGCAGCCGCGGUAAUACGUAGGGCGCAAGCGUUGUCCGGAAUUAUUGGGCGUAAAGAGCUCGUAGGCGGCUUGUCACGUCGGGUGUGAAAGACCGGGGCUUAACCCCGGUUCUGCAUUCGAUACGGGCUAGCUAGAGUGUGGUAGGGGAGAUCGGAAUUCCUGGUGUAGCGGUGAAAUGCGCAGAUAUCAGGAGGAACACCGGUGGCGAAAGCGGAUCUCUGGGCCAUUACUGACGCUGAGGAGCGAAAGCGUGGGGAGCGAACAGGAUUAGAUACCCUGGUAGUCCACGCCGUA